rnacentral:lncRNA from 1 species
ACGCACUGGACCGAUGCGCAGGAGGAGACACAGGACCAGUGAGUGAAGAAGCUGCUUGGGAGCCUGUGAGCUAGAGAUCCAGGUCACCAAGAUCUGCUGCCUAUGUGGAGGAGCAAAGAGUCCCCAGGACACAGUAUGGCCAUCACGAAGAACUCCACUGGGCUACCAUUCCUGACACAGCAUGCAGUUCAGUGAACCUGUCCGAUGACGUCUGAUGCCAGGUCAUCCUAACAUAGUAACACACAGGUGUAAAUGAAUGACCUCAGACAAACAAUGCUCACACCCAGCCGAGCAAGCACGGGCUUUAUCACCGAGAUGGGGAAGGCGCCACAGCAACCUGAGAGUACGUAGCACUGUGGGCUCCAAGGACACACUGUUUCUCAGGAACCGCUAAUGAAGAUACUCAAACGUGGAGAAAAACACAAGUGUGCCACUCUCCAGGAAUAAAACCUUACUGUGGAAGGACUGUUCUUCUGUGGAAGAUCCAGCCCAGGCUGUCAGCUCACAGACGACAGAUUGAAUUGGAAGCUGUCCCAUGUUUGACCUGAGCCUAUGCCAUGGCUGUCUGACUGUUUGAGAACCCCAAGUGGGAGAAAGAUGCAGCCCUUAGCCAAGGAUGGAUUUUUUUGCCUGCCGAGAUUCCAAGAAGUUCAUUCAGAAGCUAGCAAUGGCUUCCAGGGUGGAUCUUCUCCACUUUAAUUUCCUAAGCCGUUCCAAGGAGCUGCUUUAAAAUUAGUUGAGCUUCACUAUUUAGCAACCACCACCCCUAAAAUGUGCCUGAGUUCAUUGUAUGAGGAUGACGUGUGAAGUCCUUCCUUGGCCCCUGGAGGUGGGAGGGGGCCCAUCUUGCUCACCCCUAGCUCUGCUAAAUGUCACUGUCCCUACAUACUGGAUCCCAUCUUCUUUCCCAGUAGACAUAUACAGCUGCUUCAUCCUGGGUCUCAGCAGGCACUUCAUGCUGCCUGAGGAGACACUGACUUCAGUCUCUGAGAUGGGAGUUCCCCAAUGUCAGGGUUUCUCUGUGUCCACUGGAGUUUGGCAUGACCUAGCACCCACCAUGAUAGUAUCUUGGCAGUCACACAGUAGCCCUAUAAAGACUGCCCUUCUCAGUGAAGACCACCCACGAAUCCCAGAGUGUGAGUAUCCACAGGGAUGUCCCAACCCCAACAUCACUCAGAUGCCACUCUUUCCAUGUGUCCCCGGAACAGCCAGGCAAGGGAACCACAGGACAAAUGGAGCAGAGGGAUACCCACUCCCCGGCCAGGCAGGCCCUCCUGCUCUGAGCAUGCCCCAUGGAUGCCGGGAGAAAGUCAAUGUGCAAUUAAGCAGAGCGUGAUAAAAAGUAAAUUUAAUUACAAGGGCACUUAGGCAUUUGAUGGCUUUGAUACGGGCUUCUAAAUUGAAUGUCGCUUUGGUUAUCAUUAGAAAUUAGAAGUGAAUGAACAAAUGAUGCCUGUACUUAACAGUUCCAUUUUUUUCAGGGAAAGAAUAAAUAAAUGAGUGGACUGGGUGCAUGAGUCUUAGGUACCAGGAGUAUCGGCUCCUGGAGCUAGCAAGUCCCUCAGUGCAGUGUCAGCCAUGUCUAGAUUCUGCACACUGGAGCUCAGCAAACAACUCAGCCUGGUUCCUCCCAGUUAUCUUUUUGUCCUCUGCCCAGCGUGCUGGUCUGUUAAUAUCUGUGUUUUUUACACAUCAGCAGGCAGUAUUUCCCCUCUGGGCUCCUUGGAGUAGCUAGACUGGAAGAUGAAACACCCCAUUUCCAGCGCUGCCUGCUCCCAGUGGGGCAUCUGGGCUGGAGCCUCCAGGGAUAAGGGUUCAAACUCCGCCUGUGCCCUUAGAGUCUGCUCUGGGCCAGCAGGUCCCCAGUGACGCAAGCCAGCAGGGGGUGGGAAGCUUCAGGAGAAAAGGACAUGGAGCAGUAGGGUAUGACAUUCAAAGCCUGACAGCGUCUCUACCAGCCCUUCAUCCUUGGAGCAACGGUGAGAUGAACAUUUAUGUUCAUACUGCAGAGUUGAACAGAAUCCAGAACAGCCAGCCUUUUGAGCUACAUAACAAAAGUAUCAUGUGCACAUGUGGACACACCCAGGUGGGUAGAGCUGAGUCAUGGACAUGCCUAUCCACCAUAUUCUUUAUUCACAAUAGCCAAGACCUGGACUCAACUUCAGUGCUCUUACCUAAUAAGUGGGCAACAUCUGGCCUGUACCCACAGAGAUACCAAACAGCCACUGAGGAAAAUGAGAUUGUGCCAUUUGCUGAAAAAAGUGGACUGAACUGGAUAACAACAGCACACUAAAGGAAAUAAGCUAUAUUUAGCUUAGAGGUAGAAAUUGCAUGUUUUUUUUUUAUUCUCAUAUGUGCAACUUAGAAAAAGAUUUGCAAGUAGGAGGGGUGUUGGGGAAUGAGAAGGGGGCACUGGGAGGAGAGGGGACAAGUGGGGUCAUGGGUGGGGAGAUCUGACUAUAGUACCUUACAUGUAUGUAUAAAAAUGUUACCAUGAAAUCAAGUCUUCUGUACAAUCCAUACACUCCAAUAAAAA